rnacentral:rRNA from 1 species
GACGAACGCUGGCGGCGUGCUUAACACAUGCAAGUCGAACGGAAAGGCCCUGCUUUUGUGGGGUGCUCGAGUGGCGAACGGGUGAGUAACACGUGAGUAACCUGCCCUUGACUUUGGGAUAACUUCAGGAAACUGGGGCUAAUACCGGAUAGGAGCUCCUGCUGCAUGGUGGGGGUUGGAAAGUUUCGGCGGUUGGGGAUGGACUCGCGGCUUAUCAGCUUGUUGGUGGGGUAGUGGCUUACCAAGGCUUUGACGGGUAGCCGGCCUGAGAGGGUGACCGGCCACAUUGGGACUGAGAUACGGCACAGACUCCUACGGGAGGCAGCAGUGGGGAAUAUUGCACAAUGGGCGGAAGCCUGAUGCAGCAACGCCGCGUGCGGGAUGACGGCCUUCGGGGUGUAAACCGCUUUCGCCUGUGACGAAGCGUGAGUGACGGUAAUGGGUAAAGAAGCACCGGCUAACUACGU